rnacentral:rRNA from 1 species
GAUGAACGCUGGCGGCGUGCCUAAUACAUGCAAGUCGAACGAGGUGCUUUUGUAGCAAUACGAGAGCAUCCUAGUGGCGAACGGGUGAGUAACGCGUUGGUGACCUGCCCCAAAGUGUGGGAUAACAGUCCGAAAGGAUUGCUAAUACCUCAUGUGGUCAUUGGAUUUAGAAACUAAUGACUAAAGCAGUAAUGCGCUUUGGGAGGGACCUGCGUCCCAUCAGCUAGUUGGUGAGGUAACGGCUCACGAAGGCUACGACGGGUAGGGGACCUGAGAGGGUGGCCCCCCACAAUGGAACUGAAACACGGUCCAUACACCUACGGGUGGCAGCAGUAGGGAAUAUUGCUCAAUGGGCGAAAGCCUGAAGCAGCAACGCCGCGUGUGCGAUGAAGGUCUUCGGAUCGUAAAGCACUUUUCUGAGAGAUGAGAAAGGACAGUAUCUCAGGAAUAAGUCUCGGCUAACUACGUGCCAGCAGCCGCGGUAAAAC